GGGUGAGUACGCGUGGGAACAUACCCUUUCCUGCGGAAUAGCUCCGGGAAACUGGAAUUAAUACCGCAUACGCCCUACGGGGGAAAGAUUUAUCGGGGAAGGAUUGGCCCGCGUUGGAUUAGCUAGUUGGUGGGGUAAAGGCCUACCAAGGCGACGAUCCAUAGCUGGUCUGAGAGGAUGAUCAGCCACAUUGGGACUGAGACACGGCCCAAACUCCUACGGGAGGCAGCAGUGGGGAAUAUUGGACAAUGGGCGCAAGCCUGAUCCAGCCAUGCCGCGUGAGUGAUGAAGGCCUUAGGGUUGUAAAGCUCUUUCACCGGAGAAGAUAAUGACGGUAUCCGGAGAAGAAGCCCCGGCUAACUUCGUGCCAGCAGCCGCGGUAAUACGAAGGGGGCUAGCGUUGUUCGGAAUUACUGGGCGUAAAGCGCACGUAGGCGGAUAUUUAAGUCAGGGGUGAAAUCCCAGAGCUCAACUCUGGAACUGCCUUUGAUACUGGGUAUCUUGAGUAUGGAAGAGGUAAGUGGAAUUCCGAGUGUAGAGGUGAAAUUCGUAGAUAUUCGGAGGAACACCAGUGGCGAAGGCGGCUUAC
rnacentral:rRNA from 1 species